AGAGUUUGAUCAUGGCUCAGGAUGAACGCUAGCGGCAGGCUUAAUACAUGCAAGUCGAGGGGCAGCGGGGGUAGCAAUACCUGCCGGCGACCGGCAAACGGGUGCGGAACACGUACAGAACCUUCCUUUAAGUGGGGAAUAGCCCAGGGAAACUUGGAUUAAUACCCCGUAACAUAGUGAAAAGGCAUCUUUUUAUUAUUAUAGAUUUAUCGCUUAAAGAUGGCUGUGCGGCUGAUUAGGUAGUUGGCGGGGUAAAGGCCCACCAAGCCUGCGAUCAGUAACUGGUGUGAGAGCACGACCAGUCACACGGGCACUGAGACACGGGCCCGACUCCUACGGGAGGCAGCAGUAAGGAAUAUUGGUCAAUGGACGAAAGUCUGAACCAGCCAUGCCGCGUGAAGGAUGAAGGUCCUCAGGAUUGUAAACUUCUUUUAUCUGGGACGAAAAAGGGAUAUUCUUAUCCACUUGACGGUACCAGAGGAAUAAGCACCGGCUAACUCCGUGCCAGCAGCCGCGGUAAUACGGAGGGUGCAAGCGUUAUCCGGAUUCACUGGGUUUAAAGGGUGCGUAGGCGGGUAGAUAAGUCAGUGGUGAAAUCUUCGAGCUUAACUCGGAAAUUGCCGUUGAUACUAUUUAUCUUGAAUAUCGUUGAGGUUUGCGGAAUAUGUCAUGUAGCGGUGAAAUGCUUAGAGAUGACAUAGAACACCUAUUGCGAAGGCAGCAGGCUAAACGAACAUUGACGCUGAGGCACGAAAGCGUGGGGAUCAAACAGGAUUAGAUACCCUAGUAGUCC
rnacentral:rRNA from 1 species